GCACCGCGGGACCAGAAGGCAGUGACCCACCUGGACCCAGCUUUCACUGUCUUGUGUGUGUCUAUUAUUUCUCAACCUGCCGAUCCACCUAGGAGCAGAGAGAGAGCCCCGUUGCAUUGCAGGCUGCUGGCCAGAUCCCGCAAUAGCUGCUCAAACAGAAGGCAGGUUGUCUGAAUGGAGCAUGGUGAAGAGGGAAGGAAACAGACUUGGCAGUCAUUCACCUGCAGUGUCCUUGUCAAGACUCACUAAAUCCGGGAAGCAGCUAAGUGGUCCAUAAAGGGCCGUCUCUGGUAAAAGGCUGGUUUGUUCACAGGCUUCUUGUGUGGCUGGUGUGAAACAUCCCUUACUCUGUGCUCUUCCUCCAUACCCAGAAAGUGAGCCACAGAUGACCAUCUCCCAAAUACUCAGUGCAGAAAGUGGAGGUCCUUGUAGGAUGGCACGAGCAUUUUUGUUCCUGGGAAGGUAGGUUUCUUUAUAGCAAUUUAUGAGGUGGAAUUUGGUUUACAUUUCAGUCUCUUGAAUCUGGUUUCUGGUGCAGUCCCUCAUGGGCUAGAUCUUCUCUGAAUGUUCAGCCAAAAUAUCUUGGUGACAAAAGGAGAAGACGAAUUCUGAAUCAUAAUGACCUCGCUGUCAUACCCCUAUAGAGGGACCCUCAAAAUUCACACACAAAAAAAUAAAAAUAAUCACAAUUCCAUCUUAGAACAUUUCUCAGUUUAAGAUAUUGUGCUCGUUUGUAAUUAAUGUCUGUUCCCAUCCUCUGGAAGUUGCAGAGAAUCACUAAUCUCUUUUCUGUCUCUAUAGAUUUGCCCUUUCUGAACAUUUUGUAUAAGUGGAAUGAUAUAUUAGAUAGUCUUCUGCAUCUGGUUUUUCUCAGUUAGCAUAAUGUUUUUAGAGAUUCAUCCAUGUUGUAACAUACAUCAGUACUUCAUUUCUUUAUAUGCCCAAAUAAUAUUCCAUUUUACAAAUACACCAUAUUUUGUUUGCCCAUUCACUUGUUGAAGUAUAUUUGUGUUGUUUACCCUUUUUGGCUAUAGUAAAUAAUGCUGCUAUGAACUUUUACGUACAAGUAUUUUGAACAUAUGUUUUUGGGUUUUUUUCUUUUUUAAUUUUUUAUUUCCAUAGUUUUUUGGAGACAGGUGGUAUUUGGUUACAUGAGUAAGUUCUUUAGUGGUGAUUUGUGAGAUUUUGGUGCACGCAUCAACUGAGCAGUAUGCACUGAACACAAUUUGUAGUCUUUUACCCCUCACCCCCCUACCACCCUUUCCCCAAAGUCCCCAAAGUCCAUUGUAUCAGCCCAAAUGUCCAUCAAUCAACAAGUGGAUAAAGAAAUUGUGGUAUAUAUACAUACAAUGGAAUAAUACUCAGCCAUAAAAAGGAAUGAAUUAAUGACAUUUGCAGCAACCUGAAUGGACAGAAGACUAUUAUUCUAUGUGAAGUCACUCAGGAAUGGAAAACCAAACAUUGUAUGUUCUCACUCGUAAGUGGGAGCUAAGCUGUGAGGAUGCAAAGUCAUAUAAACAAAUGUUUUUAUUUAUCUUGGGUAGAUACCUAGGAGUGGAAUUGCUAGAUCACUUGGUAAAUUUGUUUCCACUGGUGGGGUCUUGACCAGCCACAGAUCCAGCCUCCUCCUCAGCAUUGGACAGGGUUAUAAUGGGAUAGCAAGAACCUACCUGCUACAUGUCUACAUCAUUCGUUACUUGGGAGAUUUCCUAUUAAAACAUUUGAAAUUCCACCCACCUUUAAAUGGAGGACAGCCUUUUAGUCACUACCUGAGUAUGUGAUUUCAAUAAGAUGAUCUUCUAAAAUACAAAAGAUGAGAAAGUAUCUUGGAGAGGUGACAACAUGAAAGAUGAUAAUGUGAUAUUACUGCCAUCAUUAGGAUUAUUCACUUGUCAUCUGAGACUUAAAGUGAUGGUGAUUUCAGCUUUGUCUGGUAGGAUCAGGGAACAGCUAAGAUCUAAUUCAAAGAUCCCUUGACUCUGAUGUUUGUUCCCACCACUUCCACUUCCUAGUUAUGGGAAUUUCUGCAAAGUGAUUUGCCUCCCCAAGCUUUAGAUGCUUCCCUUACAAAAUGGGGCCACCAACAUCAUUUCUCAGGGUUUCCACAGGAUUAAAUAAAUGGCAGCACGUUGAAUCCAGUCC
rnacentral:lncRNA from 1 species